rnacentral:rRNA from 1 species
GGUUAAGCGACCAAGCGUACACGGUGGAUGCCCUGGCAGUCAGAGGCGAUGAAGGACGUGCUAAUCUGCGAUAAGCGCCGGUAAGGUGAUAUGAACCGUUAUAACCGGCGAUGUCCGAAUGGGGAAACCCAGUGUGACUCGUCACACUAUCAUUAACUGAAUCCAUAGGUUAAUGAGGCGAACCGGGGGAACUGAAACAUCUAAGUACCCCGAGGAAAAGAAAUCAACCGAGAUUCCCCCAGUAGCGGCGAGCGAACGGGGAGGAGCCCAGAGCCUGAAUCAGCAUGUGUGUUAGUGGAAGCGUCUGGAAAGGCGCGCGAUACAGGGUGAGAGCCCCGUACACAAAAGCGCAUAUGCUGUGAGCUCGAUGAGUAGGGCGGGACACGUGGUAUCCUGUCUGAAUAUGGGGGGACCAUCCUCCAAGGCUAAAUACUCCUGACUGACCGAUAGUGAACCAGUACCGUGAGGGAAAGGCGAAAAGAACCCCGGCGAGGGGAGUGAAACAGAACCUGAAACCGUGUACGUACAAGCAGUGGGAGCCUCUCUUUAUGGGGGGUGACUGCGUACCUUUUGUAUAAUGGGUCAGCGACUUAUAUUCUGUAGCAAGGUUAACCGCAUAGGGGAGCCGAAGGGAAACCGAGUCUUAAUUGGGCGUUAAGUUGCAGGGUAUAGACCCGAAACCCGGUGAUCUAGCCAUGGGCAGGUUGAAGGUUGGGUAACACUAACUGGAGGACCGAACCGACUAAUGUUGAAAAAUUAGCGGAUGACCUGUGGCUGGGGGUGAAAGGCCAAUCAAACCGGGAGAUAGCUGGUUCUCCCCGAAAGCUAUUUAGGUAGCGCCUCGUGAACUCAUCUCCGGGGGUAGAGCACUGUUUCGGCUAGGGGGCCAUCCCGGCUUACCAACCCGAUGCAAACUGCGAAUACCGGAGAAUGUUAUCACGGGAGACACACGGCGGGUGCUAACGUCCGUCGUGAAGAGGGAAACAACCCAGACCGCCAGCUAAGGUCCCAAAGUCAUGGUUAAGUGGGAAACGAUGUGGGAAGGCCCAGACAGCCAGGAUGUUGGCUUAGAAGCAGCCAUCAUUUAAAGAAAGCGUAAUAGCUCACUGGUCGAGUCGGCCUGCGCGGAAGAUGUAACGGGGCUAAACCAUGCACCGAAGCUGCGGCAGCGACACUUUAGUGUUGUUGGGUAGGGGAGCGUUCUGUAAGCCGUUGAAGGUGUCCUGUGAGGGGUGCUGGAGGUAUCAGAAGUGCGAAUGCUGACAUAAGUAACGAUAAAGCGGGUGAAAAGCCCGCUCGCCGGAAGACCAAGGGUUCCUGUCCAACGUUAAUCGGGGCAGGGUGAGUCGACCCCUAAGGCGAGGCCGAAAGGCGUAGUCGAUGGGAAACGGGUUAAUAUUCCCGUACUUGGUGUUACUGCGAAGGGGGGACGGAGAAGGCUAUGUUGGCCGGGCGACGGUAGUCCCGGUUUAAGCGUGUAGGUGUGUGUUCCAGGCAAAUCCGGUUCACUUUAACACUGAGGCGUGAUGACGAGGCACCACGGUGCUGAAGCAACAAAUGCCCUGCUUCCAGGAAAAGCCUCUAAGCAUCAGGUAACAUCAAAUCGUACCCCAAACCGACACAGGUGGUCAGGUAGAGAAUACCAAGGCGCUUGAGAGAACUCGGGUGAAGGAACUAGGCAAAAUGGUGCCGUAACUUCGGGAGAAGGCACGCUGACACGUAGGUGAAGUGAUUUACUCAUGGAGCUGAAGUCAGUCGAAGAUACCAGCUGGCUGCAACUGUUUAUUAAAAACACAGCACUGUGCAAACACGAAAGUGGACGUAUACGGUGUGACGCCUGCCCGGUGCCGGAAGGUUAAUUGAUGGGGUCAGCGCAAGCGAAGCUCCUGAUCGAAGCCCCGGUAAACGGCGGCCGUAACUAUAACGGUCCUAAGGUAGCGAAAUUCCUUGUCGGGUAAGUUCCGACCUGCACGAAUGGCGUAAUGAUGGCCAGGCUGUCUCCACCCGAGACUCAGUGAAAUUGAACUCGCUGUGAAGAUGCAGUGUACCCGCGGCAAGACGGAAAGACCCCGUGAACCUUUACUAUAGCUUGACACUGAACAUUGAGCCUUGAUGUGUAGGAUAGGUGGGAGGCUUUGAAGCGUGGACGCCAGUCUGCGUGGAGCCGACCUUGAAAUACCACCCUUUAAUGUUUGAUGUUCUAACGUGGACCCGUAAUCCGGGUUGCGGACAGUGUCUGGUGGGUAGUUUGACUGGGGCGGUCUCCUCCUAAAGAGUAACGGAGGAGCACGAAGGUUGGCUAAUCCUGGUCGGACAUCAGGAGGUUAGUGCAAUGGCAUAAGCCAGCUUGACUGCGAGCGUGACGGCGCGAGCAGGUGCGAAAGCAGGUCAUAGUGAUCCGGUGGUUCUGAAUGGAAGGGCCAUCGCUCAACGGAUAAAAGGUACUCCGGGGAUAACAGGCUGAUACCGCCCAAGAGUUCAUAUCGACGGCGGUGUUUGGCACCUCGAUGUCGGCUCAUCACAUCCUGGGGCUGAAGUAGGUCCCAAGGGUAUGGCUGUUCGCCAUUUAAAGUGGUACGCGAGCUGGGUUUAGAACGUCGUGAGACAGUUCGGUCCCUAUCUGCCGUGGGCGCUGGAAGACUGAGGGGGGCUGCUCCUAGUACGAGAGGACCGGAGUGGACGCAUCACUGGUGUUCGGGUUGUCAUGCCAAUGGCACUGCCCGGUAGCUAAAUGCGGAAAAGAUAAGUGCUGAAAGCAUCUAAGCACGAAACUUGCCCCGAGAUGAGUCUUCCCUGAGACUUUGAGUCUCCUGAAGGAACGUUAAAGACGAUGACGUUGAUAGGCCGGGUGUGUAAGCGCAGCGAUGCGUUGAGCUAACCGGUACUAAUGAACCGUGAGGCUUAACCUUAC